UACGGAGGGGGCUAGCGUUGUUCGGAAUUACUGGGCGUAAAGCGCACGUAGGCGGAUCAGCAAGUUAGGGGUGAAAUCCCGGGGCUCAACCCCGGAACUGCCCUUAAGACUGUUGGUCUGGAGUCCGAGAGAGGUGAGUGGAAUUCCGAGUGUAGAGGUGAAAUUCGUAGAUAUUCGGAGGAACACCAGUGGCGAAGGCGGCUCACUGGCUCGGUACUGACGCUGAGGUGCGAAAGCGUGGGGAGCAAACAGG
rnacentral:rRNA from 1 species